CAAAUUCUCAACAUAAGACAAUAUGAGCUAUAUCAAUUUUUAACUUUAUCUGAUUUAAAAAUAUUUAUGAUCUAUUCUUGCCAAAGUAGUUUACUAUACUGUAAACAAAAUCAAUCACUUGAUAACGCUAAAAGGUGCAAACAUCAUCAGGUGACCAUCACUAUCACUCAGCUGUAAACAACUUUACCAUUUGCCCUCGGCAUGAUAACCCUUGAUGGAAUAUAGUUUUGGACCCCUUUGAUGAGCCCCCAUUGGAUUUCUACUUCAUGAUUUUCAGUGCAUUCGCAAUGCCAAUGGCCUCAGCUUAUCAAGAAAACUAAAUUCAUAAAUAGCAAGCUUUAUAAAAAUAGCUGAUUAGAAUAGAUCAGGUGUCCUAAGAAUAUUACAUUACAAUGAUGGUGAGUUAAGGAAAUUUCUGUCGACUCAACCUUGUAGGUGGAAAAUUCCGUUGUAGGAAGUGUUUUGGAAAAAUACGAAAACAAUUUGAGCUCCCUAGAUUCCAGAAAGAGCAAAUUGUCAAAUUGGUUGUCGACGUCAAUCCUCGUUGUUGUUGCUAUGGCCGGGCCACCGUUGUUGAUAAGUUGAUAUGGUUACACUGGAUGCGACUGGGCCCCCCUCGAUGAGUUAUUGCUCUGCGGCUCUGUGUCGGGGCCCGAAAUCCAAAAUCAGUGCCCAGAGGCCAGGCCCAUUAUUCCCAUGGCAGCAUCUAAAACCCGCCGGUGGGCGAUGCGAUAAGGCUGACUCAGGCGCAGAGGGCUUCUCAAUCGGGGCCUGAGCAUGCCGCCGACGUCUGGCCCGCCACUCGUUCUAUAUCUACUUGAGCGGCCAACCUUGAACUUGCUGCCGAAUGCGGGAGACCGCCCAUUGCUCUUCAAGUGCCCCAAUGAGGCAAGCACUUUGCAGCUUUUUUGCCAUGUGUGGGGCGUGUGCCGCUGCUAAUCAGCAUAAACCGAAAUAGGAUCUGCCAACGAGCAAGUGUCGACGGCCGGACGGUGGGUCCAAAACAAAACGUCAUCAGGCCCCGGUUCCGAAUUUGCCGCCCAAGCGAUAGAGUGACAGACCUUAUCAACAAUCUUGACGAAACCCUACUGAUUUUCACAAUUUCCUAUGGAUCUGUAUCGUUUGCGGCGUAACACGUACCAUUUUUUUAUAUUUUUUAUAUAUUUUCUUCUUAAAUAUAUAUAAAUGGUAUGCUUGAAA